rnacentral:lncRNA from 1 species
AAGACGGAUCAAGUUGGGCUAUAUAUUAUGGCAAGUUGACCCUACUUUCCAAUUUCGUAGAUAGAACAGUUCUAGUAGAAGGUUAACCCGGCCUUCCUAAGAGUACUAGGUUAAAGGGGAGACCUCUAAAGCCCAGAAAGAACUAUCCUAUCCAUUUAGGAAUCCAAAAGCGCCUUAUCUGUGGAUCACUGACGGCUAUACCCAAUGAGCAAAGUAGAAAGAGCCUAGGAAAAUUCAUCUUCUCCCUAUUCAGUCAGCAGUUGUCCNN